GCCAAAAUUAGCCCAACCACCAAUACUAACUGACACAAUAAAAAACAAAUCAUUUGACAAGACUAGUAGAAGUGAUCAAAAAUCAUCUAAGGAGCUAUAAUGACAGUACCGUAAGGGAAAAAAUGAAAGAAUAAUGAAACAUAUAAGCAAAAAACAGCAGAGACCAGCCCUCGUACCUCUUGCAUCAUGGUCUAGCGAGAAUCAUACAGACACACUGACUACUAGCCUGUACUCCCGAACUCAAGUGAGCUACUUCAGAGCAGCUAACAUGAGCGAACCCGUCCCUGUAGCAAAAGGGUGGGAUGACUCAGAAGUAGAGGUGAAAAGCCUACCGAACUUGAUGAUAGCUGGUUGCCCGAUAAGUGAAUAUUAGUUCUACUUUAGAUUUAUGUAACACAACAGCUAGUGUAAAAUUAAUCUAAAAUUUACUCAAUGAGGGUACAGCUUCAUUGACACAGGAUACAACCUGAAAUAGAGAGCCAUUAUCCAACAUAUGAACCCGUAGGCCCUAAAGCAGCCACCAAAAAAGAAAGCGUCAUAGCACAUAAACCACAAAAAUACCCAACACAUAAAACUUCUCCUAACCCAAAUCGGGCUACCCCAUAACAAUAUGGAGGAACCAAUGCUAGAACUAGUAACAAGAAUAUUUUCUCUGCGCAUAACUGUAAAUCAGUAAUAGAAGAUCUACUGAACAUUAACAAACCUACAAAUGUAAACCAAACAUUUAACGAAUUGUUACCCCGACACAGGAAUGCCAAAAAGAAAGAUUAAAAGCCCAGGAAGGAACUCAGCAACCUUCAGCCCCAACUGUUUACCAAAAACAUAGCCUUUAGCCCUACAAGUAUUAAAGGUAACGCCUGCCCAGUGACACUGUUUAACGGCCGCGGUAUCCUAACCGUGCAAAGGUAGCGUAAUCACUUGUCCUCUAAAUAAGGACCAGUAUGAACGGCUAAAUGAGGGCUGACCUGUCUCCCAGGGCCAAUCAGUGAAACUGAUCUACCAGUACAAAAGCUGGUAUAAUAACAUAAGACGAGAAGACCCUGUGGAGCUUUAAAUCUACCCCAAGGCUUAUACUAAUAAACCAGCCAAAUGGAUUAAGACUUUAAGUUGGGGCGACUUCGGAAUAAAACAAAACUCCCGAGCAUAAAGAAAAUUUCUCUAACUGAGGCCUACACGCCAAAGCAAAUAUUGACCCAGUAUUACUGAUCAACGAACCAAGUUACCCCAGGGAUAACAGCGCCAUCUUCUUCGAGAGUCCAUAUCGACAAGAAGGUUUACGACCUCGAUGUUGGAUCAGGACACCCCAAUGGUGCAGCCGCUAUUAAAGGUUCGUUUGUUCAACGAUUAAUAGUCCUACGUGAUCUGAGUUCAGACCGGAGCAAUCCAGGUCGGUUUCUAUCUAUGUAACAGCUUUCUUUAGUACGAAAGGACCAAGAAAGCAGGACCAAUGUCAACAACACGUCCUCCACCAAAGGUUGAACCUAUCUCAAACCAACAACUAACCCAAUUAACUGAAGACAACAGACUUA
rnacentral:rRNA from 1 species